rnacentral:misc_RNA from 1 species
GAUGAAGAACGUAGCGAAAUGCGAUAAGUAAUGUGAAUUGCAGAAUUCAGUGAAUCAUCGAAUCUUUGAACGCACAUUGCGCCCGCCAGUAUUCUGGCGGGCAUGCCUGUUCGAGCGUCAUUUCAACCAUCAAGCCCCCGGCUUGUGUUGGGGACCUGCGGCUGCCGCAGGCCCUGAAAACCAGUGGCGGGCUCGCUAGUCACUCCGAGCGUAGUAAUACAUCUCGCUCAGGGCGUGCUGCGGGUUCCGGCCGUUAAAAAGCCUUAUUUACCCAAGGUUGACCUCGGAUCAGGUAGGAAGACCCGCUGAACUUAAGCAUAUCAAUAAGCGAGG